AGCAGCCGCGGUAAUUCCAGCUCCAAUAGCGUAUAUUAAAGUUGCUGCAGUUAAAAAGCUCGUAGUUGAAUUUCGGGAUCAAUAUGUUGGUCGUACCUUGGUACGUACUAGCUUAUUGGUUUCUCCCUUCUGACGAACCAUGAUGUCAUUAAUUUGGUGUCAUGGGGAAUCAGGACUGUUACUUUGAAAAAUUAGAGUGUUUAAAGCAGGCUCGCGCUUGAAUACAUUAGCAUGGAAUAAUGAAAUAGGACAUUUGAUUCUAUUUUGUUGGUUUCUAGGAUCGAUGUAAUGAUUAAUAGGGAUAGUUGGGGGCAUUAGUAUUCAAUUGUCAGAGGUGAAAUUCUUGGAUUUAUUGAAGACUAACUACUGCGAAAGCAUUUGCCAAGGAUGUUUUCAUUAAUCAAGAACGAAAGUUAGGGGAUCGAAGACGAUCAGAUACCGUCGUAGUCUUAACCAUAAACUAUGCCGACUAGGGAUCGGAUGAUGUUAAUUUUUAAUGACUCAUUC
rnacentral:rRNA from 1 species